UGACAGACAGGUGGUGUGGUUCCAAGACCAGGAAGCGAACCCGGGCCGCUGAAGUGUUCUACAGAUCCUGAUUGAGUAGUGAUUGCUGUGUUCCAGGCUUUAGUCUAGGCUGUUGCCAUACGUCAGUGCAUGGAACAGAUAAAGAUCCCUACAUUCUAGCAGGAAAAGACAAGCACCAUCUCUCCCGGCCGCUGGUCUCUACACCACGUCGCCCUGUUCCUGCUGAGUCAGGUCGGAACAGCCUUGCCUAGGAAAACUGGGAGUUCAAACACAGUAUAUCCAGGUUUGGCAAAAGCUGUGAAUGGUAUUUUCAACUAUAAGACUCAGACGACACCCAUGGAAUCUAAAGCAGAACAAGGCUCUCAACAGCGGACGUUCGGCACCCAGGGUGUGUGACAAAACUGUCAGUGCUUCUAUUUCAGUGUAUGUCUCCUUAUCCUCUCAAAAUGUCAAUCUGUGCAUGUUUAUAAUGCACAUGGAUGUCAGUCUAGUAGAGCUCAUAUGUGCCAGUAAGAAGUCUGUCCUGCUGGGAUGUAAGCUCAGAGACGGCGGGAAAGCAGAGUGGAGAUUAACAGCACUUGCUUCCUAACCUGAUAGGCUUGCAUUAGAUUCUCACCUCUCACACUUACUGCCUGUGUGAUUCUAGGCAGGUUGUGUAACCUCUCUGUGCUGCCCUAUCCCCAUCUGUGGACGGGUAACGAUCAGACAACACGUGCCUCACAGGGUUCCUGGAAGAGCAGAUUGAGUGGCCACUGUAUGCACUCAGGGCAUGGUUUACACGCAGAGUGUCAGUCCUUGACGACUGGACAUGGUCACAUGGAAACCUUGGAGCAACAGACCUAAACUCAGGGGUUCCUUCACCGAGAGAACAGGUUAGAAGUGUGUUACGGCCUGAGAAGUUUCAGCGAUCACGUAUUGUUCAGGCAAGCCUGUUCAUUUGAAAGAACAUAGACCACAAAAUCACUUUCCUGGGACCAGUGGACUAGCGUGAGUUGUACACAGUGUUCAUUUUAGUUCCAUUUAAAAGAUUAUUUUCACUUAAUGCAGGAAGAAAUUAAAUGCCUAAGUAGGUAACUCCAGGAGCCCUGCGGGCAACAGGGUUUUUUGCAUAUUUUUCAUGAUUGAAGUUUGUUGAUUUUCAACGUUAUUGCAAAACUCAUCCCAUUAGAAAGAAUUUUUUAUUUUUGUAAAGAGGUAAAAUAAUUGACAAUCAUCUACUUACUCAACAAUUAUUGUGCAUUGAAUUUGUGUCUGUACAUAUAUAUAAUGAGCAAACGCUCACUAAUAAUAAAUACUGGAAUCCUACAGAUGGUCCUAAAAGGACUGAUUAUUGAUAACUUGGUCUAGAAUUAGAGAAUAAACAACAGAAUUCUAAAAAAAUCAGUGAGAAAGUAAGCUUUUAUUCUCAGGAAUGUGGUCUCAUCUCACUGGGGUUUAUAGGUCUUUUCAGUCUUUUUAGGAGAGCAGGAUUUUUUCUCCCUAAAGCUUUGGUGAAGAUCAAAAUACAUUUUAAAAGGUUUUUUUGUCUUGUUUUUUGUUUCUCGGUUGAGGCUGUGUUGACCCAAUGCCCAGUCACUUGGUUCAGAGAAACCUCAGGAAACCUGAGUGGCGAGAUGCCUGGAUGAUAGUUUUGUUAUGUUCUCACCAUGGAAUCCUGAAAGGAAAGGAUGGAAAGAAAAAGAAAGGCAGAGAGUGGAGUUUGAAUGCUUAUGACAAUCUACCUGACACUGGACUUUCAUCAAGUCAAUAUGUGACUUUAGCAGAAAUGUAUCUUAAAGAAGCAUAUAGUGAAACAUCAGAUCUAAUGAGAUAUUCAUAAAGGGGUCAACAUGCUCAACAACAACGUGUUAAGCACCUGCUACGUACAAGACGUUGCAAAAUUCUGGGACUGAGGUUGGAAGAGAUGAAAAGCAAUGAGGGAUACAGAUGAACGAGACAUGGUCUUUCUCCCCAAGGAGCUUCCGGUCUGGGCAGGGAGAUACGCUUCUACAGGGUAAGCAUGGAAAAUAUGGAAAAGCUGUGGGACAGCAGAGAGAAGACGCCUGGAGGUGGAUCUUAGGCUUAGAUUCAGAAUAAGUUUCCCUUACUUACUGGCCUAGACUAAGUACAGGGCAUCAAGUACAGGACACCCAGUUAAAUGUGAAUUUUAAAUAAACAAUGAAUAAUUUUUCACUAUAAGUAUACCCCAUUGCGUGGGACAUGCUUACACUAAAAAAUUACUUUUUUAAAAAAUCUGAAAUUAAAAUUUAUCAGAGCAUCUGUAUUUUUAUUUGCUAAAUCUGGCAACCGUACCCUAGGCAAGCCCAUCCACCCUUUCCUGCGCCACUCUGGAGGCUCCUGGAGGCUGACCCCUGUGAUCUCUAUUUCCUGUGCUCUCCUACCAGUCGGCUUCUUGUUGAGUCAGCCUGUGGGAGGGCCUGAGGGGAGGGCAAACUGCAGGAGGAAAGAGAGGCCGGGUUCUCUUCCUUGCCUCUUCUGUGCCUCAGCAAAGCGUCUCUGGUAAUAGUAUAUUCCCGUGCCUACAGCUCAUGCCUGACAGCUCCUCCUGCAUGGUUUCAGCUCUCCUGGGGCUCUGGUCACACGUUUUCCUCCCAUUGCUCCUCCAGGCUUGGGAGUAGCAACAACUUCCCUUUGCUGCUCUUCUCUGGGUGCCUCAGCAUCCCUUUUGGUUAUCCUAACUGUGCCCGUAUCCCUGUAGGUAGUAUAUUAUCAUCUUCAUUGGAGCCACUGAGUUAAAUUCUCUUUCCUUCCUGGACCCUGAUUGGUAAAGCACGUCUCUUUAACUUCUUUGAGCCUCAUCUCUUUAUUUAUAAAAUGAGGAGUAAUUGGCUCCAAGGCUCAGGAGUUAGAGCGCUGGUCUUAUAAAGUGAGGAGAGGGAUGCUUCCUUCAUGCAUUUCUUUGGUAAGGAGGUUAUGCAUGUGGAUAUCAUGGACUGGGGGUGGGGGCUCUAACAUUUGAAUUGAUAUUUAGCACAUCGUAUCAACACUUUCCGGCUCUGGUAUGGCUGAGAAGAUCUACAGAUAACAACUCUAAACUCUUGCCCAAAUAUUAAAAUCAACUAUAUGAAGGAAUUGGAUAAUGACCCAAAGCAGGCAGAUACUGGAGCAGAGUUAACCAGUGGAUGAGGGGAACAGCA